rnacentral:lncRNA from 1 species
UGAGCUACUUUAUCGAGAACUGUGAAGUUGAUACAUGUAUUUCCUUUGUGCGGUAUACUCCUAUAGAGUAUGCUUGAGAUAUUGGAGUAUAACAAAAUACAACUUAUGUUAGGAAAUUGCGUUGUAAGUUGAUCCUGCGAGUCUUGAUUGGUUUUAACAGGAUUCUUUCCGGUCAGAAUUUUGACAGCAAAUAAAGCUUCAGUUAUUUCUAUCUGUACGCGCCGAUACAAAGCUGCACCAAGCUUUGGGGUACAUGUAAUCCAGUCCUGAUGUGUAACUAUCGAAAGUUUUGAUGUGUUCACAUGUAAUCCAGUUGUCACACUGCUCCGUGUGUUUGCAGAGCGGACCUCUAGAUCUUUUCAAUAGGGUAGGUCCUAAAAUAUAGAUUUUUUCUUUCACAUGGAUGCGCGUCCCUCAACGUCAUUCGAAACAGAGUGUUCGCCAGGACCCUUUGCAAAGUAUGUGAUCAACAGUACUGAGGGCGGGCUUCUUCCAAUGAUCUGCCUCACCUGUAAAAUGCUUGCCUUUCUUUCGAUAUUGGUGGUUGGUCGGAAGAAAUCGAUGAUGUCCCAGGUACACAUUUUUCUUGCAUUUGUCCAAAUAUAUACUUUCGGUGUCAUCUAAACAGUGCGCGCAUGUGUGGUAUCCCUUGUUUGUCUCUCCUGAAAGGUUACUGAGAGCAGGCCAAUCAUUGAUGGUUACAAACAACAACGCAUGUAGGUCAAAUUCCUGUUGUUUGUGCUCAUCACAUACACGUACACAUUUUCCAUUCCACAGCUGUAAAAGUUCUUCAACUAAUUUGCCUUAGGUACACAUCAAUGUCGUUCCCGGUUGCUUAGGGUCUUGAAUGAGCACUGACAUCAUAAUAAACUUUCGCUUCAUGUAUAACCAAGGAGGAAGGUUAUAGAUACAUAGAGUCACGAGCCAGUGCUAUGAUUGUUGUUCUGCUUCCCAAAAGGAUUAAUACCAUCUGCACUUAAACCAAACCAUACGUUCCUUACGUCACCUGCAAAGUCCACCCACCUUCUCUCGAUUUUUAUCCACUGUGACCCAUCAGCGGGUGCUCUCAACUUCUCGUCUUUCUUACAGUCUUCCUUGUGCCAUCGCAUCAACUUGUCAUGCUCUUUGUUUUUGAAAAAAACAUUUCAACCAUGGUAUUAUAGGAGCAUAUCACAUCGCCUUUGCAGGAACCCUCUUCCUGGGGAGCUCGUCCUCAACAUCACUAGGGUCAUCUCGUCUGAUCUUAUACCGCAAUGCACCGCAUACCGGGCAUGCGUUCAAAUCCUCAUACUCACAGCGGUAGAGGAUGCAGUCAUUAGGGCAUGCAUGUAUCUUCUGCACAUCCAAUCCUAGAGGACAGAGAACCUUCUUUGUUUCGUACGUAUUGUCAUACAAUUCAUUAUCCUUUGGAAGCUUCGUCUUCAUUAUUUUCAGUAGCUUUCCAAAUUCCAUAUCAGAUAAACCAUUAUCUGCCUUCCAUUGCAGCAAUUCUAGUGUGGUACCGAGCUUUGUGUUGUCAUCUUCGCAAUUUGGGUACAACCCUUUUUGUGAUCCUCUAACAUGCGCUCGAACUUCAACUUCUCCCUUUCAUUUU